rnacentral:rRNA from 1 species
CUAACGCUAGCGGCCGGCCUAAUACAUGCAAGUCGGACGGGAUUGUGGAGCUUGCUUCACAUGAGAGUGGCGCACGGGUGCGUAACACGUAUGUAACCUACCUUAAUCUGGGGGAUAGCCUCUCGAAAGAGAGAUUAACACCGCAUAACAUGGUUGAAAUAGCAUUAUUUAAACAUCAAAUAUUUAUAGGAUUAAGAUGGGCAUGCGGAACAUUAGCUAGUUGGUAAGGUAAUGGCUUACCAAGGCUACGAUGUUUAGGGGAUCUGAGAGGAUGACCCCCCACACUGGUAAUGAGACACGGACCAGACUCCUACGGGAGGCAGCAGUAAGGAAUAUUGGUYAAUGGGCGCAAGCCUGAACCAGCCAUGCCGCGUGCAGGAAGACGGCCCUACGGGUUGUAAACUGCUUUUGUACCGGAAUAAACCUUUGUAUGUAUACGAAGCUGAAUGUUCGGUARGMAUAAGCA